CAUCCGCGCGUCGCCUGGGCAGG
rnacentral:miRNA from 1 species